ACGGAAGGCAGCAGUGAGGAAUAUUGGUCAAUGGGCGGAAGCCUGAACCAGCCAAGUCGCGUGAAGGAUGAAGGUAUUAUGUAUUGUAAACUUCUUUAGCCAGGGGGCAAUAAGGCGUACGCGUACGCCGACGAGAGUACCUGGAGAAUAAGGAUCGGCUAACUCCGUGCCAGCAGCCGCGGUAAUACGGAGGAUCCGAGCGUUAUCCGGAUUUAUUGGGUUUAAAGGGUGCGCAGGCGGCUUUUUAAGUCAGUGGUUAAAUCGUGACGCUCAACGUCAUCACGCCAUUGAUACUGGAGAGCUUGAUUGCGGUCGAGGUUUGCGGAAUUCGUCGUGUAGCGGUGAAAUGCAUAGAUAUGACGAAGAACACCGAUUGCGUAGGCAGCAGACCAGGCCGUAAAUGACGCUCAUGCACGAAAGUGCGGGGAUCGAACAGGAUUAGAUACCCUGGUA
rnacentral:rRNA from 1 species